CUGCUGCCUCCCGUAGGAGUUUGGGCCGUGUCUCAGUCCCAAUGUGGCCGUUCACCCUCUCAGGCCGGCUACUGAUCGUUGCCUUGGUGAGCCUUUACCCCACCAACUAGCUAAUCAGACGCAGAGCCAUCUUACACCGAUUUACUCUUUUCACUCUGUUUCAUGCGAAACUGGGUGCUUAUGCGGUAUUAGCAGCCGUUUCCAGCCGUUGUCCCCCUGUGUAAGGUAGGUUCUCUACGUGUUACUCACCCGUCCGCCA
rnacentral:rRNA from 1 species